rnacentral:tRNA from 1 species
AGCCCUGUCGUCUAAUUGGAAUAGGACACAAGAUUUUCAUUCUUGCUAAUACGGGUUCGAGUCCCGUUGGGGUUA